GAUGAACGCUGGCGGCGUGCCUAAUACAUGCAAGUCGAGCGAACAGACGAGGAGCUUGCUUCUCUGACGUUAGCGGCGGACGGGUGAGUAACACGUGGAUAACCUACCUAUAAGACUGGGAUAACUUCGGGAAACCGGAGCUAAUACCGGAUAAUAUUUUGAACCGCAUGGUUCAAUAGUGAAAGACGGUCUUGCUGUCACUUAUAGAUGGAUCCGCGCUGCAUUAGCUAGUUGGUAAGGUAACGGCUUACCAAGGCAACGAUGCGUAGCCGACCUGAGAGGGUGAUCGGCCACACUGGAACGGAGACACGGUCCAGACUCCUACGGGAGGCAGCAGUAGGGAAUCUUCCGCAAUGGGCGAAAGCCUGACGGAGCAACGCCGCGUGAGUGAUGAAGGUCUUCGGAUCGUAAAACUCUGUUAUUAGGGAAGAACAUAUGUGUAAGUAACUGUGCACAUCUUGACGGUACCUAAUCAGAAAGCCACGGCUAACUACGUG
rnacentral:rRNA from 1 species